AGAGCGAACGCUGGCGGCAGGCUUAACACAUGCAAGUCGAGCGGGCGUAGCAAUACGUCAGCGGCAGACGGGUGAGUAACGCGUGGGAACAUACCUUUUGGUUCGGAACAACACAGGGAAACUUGUGCUAAUACCGGAUAAGCCCUUACGGGGAAAGAUUUAUCGCCGAAAGAUUGGCCCGCGUCUGAUUAGCUAGUUGGUGAGGUAACGGCUCACCAAGGCGACGAUCAGUAGCUGGUCUGAGAGGAUGAUCAGCCACAUUGGGACUGAGACACGGCCCAAACUCCUACGGGAGGCAGCAGUGGGAAUAUUGGACAAUGGGCGCAAGCCUGAUCCAGCCAUGCCGCGUGAGUGAUGAAGGCCCUAGGGUUGUAAAGCUCUUUGUGCGGAGAUAAUGACGGUACCGCAAGAAUAAGCCCGGCUAACUUCGUGCCAGCAGCCGC
rnacentral:rRNA from 1 species